AGAACGAACGCUGGCGGCAGGCUUAACACAUGCAAGUCGAGCGAGGACUUCGGUCCUAGCGGCGGACGGGUGAGUAACGCGUGGGAACGUGCCCCUUUCUUCGGAAUAGCCUCGGGAAACUGGGAGUAAUGCCGGAUACGCCGGGCCAUGGGGACAUGGUUCGGGAAAGAUUUAUCGGAGAGGGAUCGGCCCGCGUUGGAUUAGGUAGUUGGUGGGGUAAUGGCCUACCAAGCCGACGAUCCAUAGCUGGUUUGAGAGGAUGAUCAGCCACACUGGGACUGAGACACGGCCCAGACUCCUACGGGAGACAGCAGUGGGGAAUCUUGGACAAUGGGGGCAACCCUGAUCCAGCCAUGCCGCGUGAACGAUGAAGGCCUUAGGGUUGUAAAGUUCUUUCAGCGGGGAAGAUAAUGACGGUACCCGCAGAAGAAGCCCCGGCUAACUCCGUGCCAGCAGCCGC
rnacentral:rRNA from 1 species